rnacentral:rRNA from 1 species
AGCGAACGCUGGCGGCAGGCCUAACACAUGCAAGUCGAGCGGGCACUUUCGGGUUUCAGCGGCGGACGGGUGAGUAACGCGUGGGAACGUGCCCUCUGGCUCGGACUAACUCAGGGAAACUUGAGCUAAUACCGGAUACGCUCCUUCGGGGAAAGGCCUGCUGCCGGAGGAUCGGCCCUCGUCCGAUCAGCUAGUUGGUGAGGUAAGGGUUGCCCAAGGCAACGAUGAGUAGCUGGUCUGAGAGGAUCAUCAGCCACCCUGGGACUGAGAGACGGCCCAGACUUCUACAGAAGGCAGCAAUGGCUAAUAUUGCACUAUGGGCUCAAUCAUGAUCCACCCAUGCCUCUUAAGUAAUGAAGGCCUUAAAGUUAUAAAUCUCUUUUAUCCAGUACGAUAAUGACGGUACCGGAAGAAUAAGCCCCGGCUAACUUCGUG